ensembl:lncRNA
CCCAGUCCGUGUAUUUGUACUGUGGGAUUCCAGUUCCAUGUUUUACAGUAGCUAGACAGUGCGAGGGACAUGUGAAAAAUGUAAGGCCAGCAUACUUCUGAGUAAAGGUAAACUAAAGUAUACAAAUGCCCCGACCUCAGUUCUUAUAACAAUAAGCAAUCUCAACAGUCGUAUGUUAUUGGCGACGAGUGAAACGCACAAGAGAAGAAUGCAAUUUACAAGACGAACUACGUGCGUACGGCAGUGACCUCAAUGGUUUUCUACAGUCUCUCCCUCAACACCACCAACAUGAACGGCGACUCCUACCUCAACUACUUUAACUCGGCACUAACAAGAUUGUGACCUACAUGAGUACCGGAGUUCUGAAUCGCCGUUCCCGGCGACCCACAAUCCUCUUCUACUUGCUGCUUUUCUGUGGCAUUCAUGCUGCUGUUCAUCAAGCUGGUCCAAGGGGAUCUGUGUCUGUUUUGAACCCCAGUGAUCUGUAACCAAAGCGAAAUUAUGUUUUCCCCCCUACCUAAUACCUCAAGGUCUUGUGUAGUACAUUAUCUAUUACACAUUAUACACUGGAUGGUUCGAGCCCUGAAUGCUGUUUGACUGACAGCCGUGGUAUAUCAGACCGUAUACCACAGCCCUGCUCCUGUGUCCCCUCAGAUCAGCACAUCCUGUCCCAGGUACUGGCGUUGCUGGGCGUGUUGGGGGCAUACUGUUUCCUCUACCUCUUAUCCACUGAGCUCUUGCCAACUGUGGUCAGGAACAUGGGCCUGGGUAUGGCCUGGGCAUGGAAGCACGCAUAGAAAGCAUCCUCUCCCCCUACGUCAUCUACAUCAGUGUGGGGGGGGGGGGUUCGUGUGUGUUUGUGGAAGAUUUCAUGCAUUAGCAAGAAUGAAUGUACACUGAACACAAAUAUACAUGCGUCAUACACAUGUUGGUCCCAUGUUUCAUGAGCUGAAAUAAAAAAAAUCACAAAUGUUCCAUAUGCACAAAAAGCUUAUUUCUCUCAAAUUUUGUGCAGAAAUGUGUUUCUACCCCUGUUAAUGAGCAUUUCUCCUUUGCCAAGAUAAUCAAUCCACCUGACAGGUGUGGCAUAUCAAGAAGCUGAUUAAACAGCAUGAUCAUUACACAGGUGCACCUUGUGCUGUAGACAA